UAUAUCAUAUCUGUUGUUUAAUAAUGAUAAACAAUGUUACAUGCUCCACCUUUAACACUUGGGUUUAUAGAGGUGACCUACAGCCAACUCGAAUUCAAAGAGAGGAGAAAACGAGGGAGAGAACCAGACGUCAUGUACUCCAGUGUUAUUGCACAGUCAGCAGCAGAUGUGGACGGCAUGUACGCUCAGAUCAACCACUACAGAAAACGGAAAGCCACAGACAGAUCAGAAGGUAACGUGGAUUCUCUGUCCACAGUGAAACCACCGGAUCCAUCUGUGGAAGAAACGGUUUACUCUGAGGUCAAAAGGACCUCAGGUCUUACAGGAGCUCCGGACUGUGUGGGACUGUAGCCUUUCCUCAUAACUGUGCCUUAGAUCUGCCCAUCUUAUUAUUAUUUAUCCUGAGCUGAACUGCUGUACUGCUGUAAGCUGGAGUGAAACCGUUGGUUGCUUGUUUUUAUACUUGACUUUAAUGUCCCUGACCUCUCUGGUGAGCUCCUUGGCCUUCAUGAUGUUGUUUAGUGACCAAUACACUCUGACCAUAGCUCUGAGGCCCUCACAGAACAGCUGGAAUUAUACUGAGAGUAGAUUACACACAGGUGGCCUCUAUUUAAUGGUUAGGGCAAGGUGUGAACAUUCUGCAGUCAUUAGGAAUGUUAUAAAGGCAAUUUAAUGCACUCAGAAAAUGCUGCAUGAAUACUUAUGCACGCCUCACUUUUCACUUUUCUAUUGUUUGUAAAAUAACAGAAUCAUGUAUCAUUUUGCUUUCACUUCACAGUUGUCUGUUACUUGUGUGUGAACUUUCAGUAAAAAAUUCAAAAUAAAAUCUUUAUGUUUAUGGUUGUAAACAUGACAAAAUGUGCAAAAGUUCAAGGUGUAUUAGUACUUUCGCAAGGCACUGUAUUUUAUCCUGAGCUGAACUGCUGUACUGCUGUAAGCUGGAGUGAAACCGUUGGUUGCUUGUUUUUAUACUUGACUUUAAUGUCGCUUUGUAAAUAUUGCAUCAGUGAAACAUGUUUAGGCAAAAG
rnacentral:lncRNA from 1 species